rnacentral:misc_RNA from 1 species
AUUAAUAAAACAAUGAACUUAUAAUAAACUGACCUAGCAUAGUGGUCUCGGCCACUAUUCCAUUGAAUUUAAACAAUUCAAACCACAUAAUCAAAUUAUCUGGUUGAUAUAAAACU